CCUACGGGGGGCAGCAGUGGGGAAUAUUGGGCAAUGGGCGCAAGCCUGACCCAGCAACGCCGCGUGAAGGAAGAAGGCUUUCGGGUUGUAAACUUCUUUUCUCAGGGACGAAGAAAGUGACGGUACCUGAGGAAUAAGCCACGGCUAACUACGUGCCAGCAGCCGCGGUAAUACGUAGGUGGCAAGCGUUAUCCGGAUUUAUUGGGUGUAAAGGGCGUGUAGGCGGGAGCGCAAGUCAGAUGUGAAAACUCAGGGCUCAACCCUGAGCCUGCAUUUGAAACUGUGUUUCUUGAGUGCUGGAGAGGCAAUCGGAAUUCCGUGUGUAGCGGUGAAAUGCGUAGAUAUACGGAGGAACACCAGUGGCGAAGGCGGAUUGCUGGACAGUAACUGACGCUGAGGCGCGAAAGCGUGGGGAGCAAACAGGAUUAGAUACCCCAGU
rnacentral:rRNA from 1 species